AGCUUGACUAUUUUAGUCAAAAUUUUCCAAUUAAUUUUCAAUUCAUCACCAUUCACUGUUUAGUAGAUAAAUCCCAUUCUGUUCACAAACUUUUUGUUUAACUUUGUGUAACACCUAACAGGUUAUUGCAUAUCUUCAAGUGGGUGUCUGUGAAUAUGUGGGUUUAUCCUUUGAUGUGCCCGGAAGAAAUGCACUUUUUUUUAGUCCCAGCUACAUGAAAUUUGUUUCAAUAAAACUAAGGCAAUGCUAGACUAAGUGACCCUGAGAAUCUGACUCCGCAUUAUGAGACCCUGAGCUGCAGUAAUAACCUUGAGACAGAGAAGAAAAUUCAGUUUCCUAGUAUGUUUCUAAAAGGCAGCUGUCAUCUAACCAAUAACAAUGUAAAACUAAUUCCCAGACAACUGUUUUACCAGAUAACAGUUGUGAUAUAAUUAUUUGCUCUGUCUCUGUUAGGGGCCAAUUAAUGACAUCAGCGGAAAAGCCAGUGAGAGAUGAUAAACACUAAAGGUCGCAGUCUGAAACUGCAUUAGUUAGGAUUUCAAGGAAACACAAGUAAAAAAAGACAGUAUUGCUUAUAAAAAUGUUGUUAAAUUCCUGUUGCUACAUUCAAAAAUGUAAAGCCUUUAAAGCAGAACUGUCACUGUCUAGAGACUGCAUAAUUUGCAAAAACCCACGACAGUGACAUUACAGCUGGGGUCCAGUGGCU